UACAGAGGUCUCAAGCGUUGUUCGGAUUCAUUGGGCGUAAAGGGUGCGUAGGCGGCGCCGUAAGUCAGGUGUGAAAUCUCGGGGCUCAACCCCGAAACUGCACUUGAUACUGCGGUGCUAGAGGACUCGAGAGGAGAUUGGAAUUCACGGUGUAGCAGUGAAAUGCGUAGAUAUCGUGAGGAAGACCAGUGGCUAAGGCGGGUCUCUGGACAGUUCCUGACACUGAGACACGAAGGCCAGGGGAGCAAACGGG
rnacentral:rRNA from 1 species